rnacentral:misc_RNA from 1 species
GAUGAAGAACGUAGCGAAAUGCGAUAAGUAAUGUGAAUUGCAGAAUUCAGUGAAUCAUCGAAUCUUUGAACGCACAUUGCGCCCGCCAGUAUUCUGGCGGGCAUGCCUGUCCGAGCGUCAUUUCAACCCUCGAACCCCUCCGGGGGUCGGCGUUGGGGACCUCGGGAGCCCCUAAGACGGGAUCCCGGCCCCGAAAUACAGUGGCGGUCUCGCCGCAGCCUCUCCUGCGCAGUAGUUUGCACAACUCGCACCGGGAGCGCGGCGCGUCCACGUCCGUAUAACACCCAACUUCUGAAAUGUUGACCUCGGAUCGGGUAGGAAUACCCGCUGAACUUAAGCAUAUCGAUAAGCGGAGGA